AAGCUGGGACGGCCCAGCUUUUUGUCUUUGUAUUCAGGGGACGACCCCA
rnacentral:ncRNA from 1 species